UACGUAGGGGGCAAGCGUUGUCCGGAAUCAUUGGGCGUAAAGAGCGUGUAGGCGGCUCGAUAAGUCUGCUGUGAAAUCCCAGAGCUCAACUCUGGAACUGCCUUUGAUACUGGGUGUCUUGAGUAUGGAAGAGGCGAGUGGAAUUCCUGGUGUAGCGGUGAAAUGCGCAGAUAUCAGGAGGAACACCGGUGGCGAAGGCGGUUCUCUGGGCAUUACCUGACGCUGAGGAGCGAAAGUGUGGGGAGCGAACAGG
rnacentral:rRNA from 1 species